rnacentral:rRNA from 1 species
UACGGAGGGUGCAAGCGUUAAUCGGAAUUACUGGGCGUAAAGCGUGCGCAGGCGGUUUGUUAAGUCCGUUGUGAAAGCCCCGAGCUCAACUUGGGAAUUGCAGUGGAUACUGGCAGGCUGGAGUACGGUAGAGGAAGGUGGAAUUCCCGGUGUAGCAGUGAAAUGCGUAGAGAUCGGGAGGAACACCAGUGGCGAAGGCGGCCCUCUGGACCAGUACUGACGCUCAUGCACGAAAGCGUGGGGAGCAAACAGG